GUGCUCACUUGGGCAGCUCAUGUACUAAAAUUGGAACAAUACAGAGAAAAUCAGCAUGGCCCCUGAGCAAGGAUAACACGCAAGUUUGUGAAGCGUUCCAAACCUAA